rnacentral:rRNA from 1 species
GUAGUUUAUGGGGAAGGAACACCAGGGGGGAGGAUUUCUUUUUUGGUCUCCAACCGUUGGUGAGUCAGAGAUAGGGUGGGGAGCAAACAGUAUUAGACACCGUGGUAGGUCCCCGCAGUAAUGAUGAGUGUUAAGUGUUAGGGGUGUUCCGCCCUUUAGUGCUGCAGCUAAAGCAUUAAGCACUCCGCAUGGGGAGUACGGCCGCAAGGCUGAAAUUCAAAGGAAUUGACGGGGGCCCGCACAAGCGGUGGAGCAUGUGGUUUAAUUCGAAGCAACGCGAAGAACCUUACCAGGUCUUGACAUCCCGCUGACCGCCUUAGAGAUAAGGCUUUCCCUUCGGGGACAGCGGUGACAGGUGGUGCAUGGUUGUCGUCAGCUCGUGUCGUGAGAUGUUGGGUUAAGUCCCGCAACGAGCGCAACCCUUGAUUUUAGUUGCCAGCAUUCAGUUGGGCACUUUAAGGUGACUGCCGGUGACAAACCGGAGGAAGGUGGGGAUGACGUCAAAUCAUCAUGCCCCUUAUGACCUGGGCUACACACGUGCUACAAUGGACGGUACAAAGGGCAGCCAACCCGCGAGGGGGAGCCAAUCCCAGAAAACCGUUUUCAGUUCGGAUUGCAGGCUGCAACUCGCCUGCAUGAAGCCGGAAUCGUUAGUAAUCGUGGAUCAGCAUGCCACGGUGAAUACGUUCCCGGGCCUUGUACACACCGCCCGUCACACCACGAGAGUUUGUAACACCCGAAGUCGGUGAGUAAACCC